rnacentral:rRNA from 1 species
CGUAGGGGGCAAGCGUUGUCCGGAUUUACUGGGCGUAAAGAGCGCGUAGGCGGACGCUUAAGUGUGGCCUGAAAGCCCCCGGCUUAACCGGGGAGGGUGGCUGCAAACCGGGCGUCUUGAGGGCGAUAGAGGAGAGCGGAAUUCCUGGUGUAGCGGUGAAAUGCGUAGAUAUCGGGAGGAACACCGGUGGCGAAGGCGGCUCUCUGGGUCGGCCCUGACGCUGAGGCGCGAAAGCGUGGGGAGCGAACGGGAUUAGAUACCCCGGUAGUCCACGCCGUAAACGAUGGUCACUAGGUGUGUGCGGUAUCGACCCCGCACGUGCCGCAGCUAACGCAAUAAGUGACCCGCCUGGGGAGUACGGCCGCAAGGUUG